UACGUAGGGACCGAGCGUUGUCCGGAAUCAUUGGGCGUAAAGAGCGUGUAGGCGGCCACUUAAGUCCUGCGUGAAAUCUUGCGGCUCAACCGCAAGCGGUCGUGGGAAACUGGGUGGCUAGAGUGCGGGAGAGGAGAGUGGAAUUCCUGGUGUAGCGGUGGAAUGCGCAGAUAUCAGGAAGAACACCCGUGGCGAAGGCGGCUCUCUGGAACGCAACUGACGCUGAGACGCGAAGCGUGGGAGCAACAGG
rnacentral:rRNA from 1 species